UUGCAAAUUUAGUAGAUUUCCGACCUACUUAAUCAAUCAGCAGGAAAUUUCCUAUUGAAAUACUUACAUUAAAGUAGGUUACCGCUGCUGUGUAAACACUAUUUUAUCUUCGUGGGUUUAGCGGCAACAUAUUGCAUUCGCAAUUGCCUUGCCAUGAGUCCCCUUAAAAUAGUUCUAACAAUGUAUUUUACAUUUUGUACCUCCGAUGAGGAAAAGGGCAAGCCCGAUAUGAGACUUCAGUUGCUCAUUGUCUCCGAGCUCUAUGCCCAGUUGGAUUAAGUCUUCUUUUGUUUCGAUUGGUAAUUUAAAACCCUAUGAGUUGGCGUUGCAGAAACGGCCAUUGCCUACUUCGUUCGGAUUCUGGGAAAUAAGCAAACGGUCCGUUUUUUCUAACAAACUUGUCACCAUAACUUUCAGUUCCCGAGUCUCCUGCUUCUGUUGUAACAGAACACGGGCAACUGAAAGUGGUGCUGUCAAGUGCUCGUGACUCUCCAUUGCUGCUCUGUAAUAAAAACCUCACGUUGUUUGAGACAUGUAACCCUCGAAAAUCGGGAAACGAGGGGAAAGAAAUAUAAUCCACGAAAAUUGAGACGCAAUUCGGGUAUCGAAAAUUGUGCGACAUAACCCUCAAAAGUCGAGGGAAACACAUUGUGUUGGAACGUCGUCUUCAAGUCGCAUCACAAUGGUUCUAAUGAGUCUUAAAGUAGGUAAUACUUUUUUACACCAAUGAAUAUCGAAUACAUAAUAUACUGAUAUCAAUUGGAGGAGAGCUUCAGUACUACACGCAGACUCGAUGAACGGGAUGGUGGAAAUCCACAAUAACUGUGUAGCUAGUAUCCCCAAUUUUCAAAAUGAAGGGUGUCUCUCUGUUGUGCUUCUUAAUGGCCGAAGCAAUAUUAGAUGAGUCCUGAAGAAACAAAGAAUACAUUUGGAUAAUGUAGAACUAACAAAUUAUACGUAUACUGACAUACCUCGUGUACAUAAAAAAAUAGUCUCCGGCUGUGCAACUUCGUUAAUUUGCAGAGAUUAUGACCGGUAGCAGUUCAAGUACCGCACAACUUUCACUUUCUAAAAAAAAGGAGGUAAGUGUAAUACAAAUGUAAACAAGUGAGUUAGCAUAGGAUGGUGGUAACAACUUGCCGAAACAUUUGUUUUCUCUUGAAGAUUGGUAACGGUUUAGUAUUUUUUUCACCGCUGUAUUUUUGUGAAAUUUACGGGAAACUGCUAUCACUACUGGUACAAUGUCUUCCCAUUUUUUUUGAAAUUUUUGCAAGUACCGGAUCCAAGUAUUAGGUCAAGUUCAGCGUAAAGCUGCAAUGAAAUGUUGCAUUACACUUUCAUAAUACUAUAUCCAACCUAUCUAUAGGCCUAUUAACUUACAUAAUGUUGCUGGUUCAACAACGGGCACCUGGUUUUCAAGAUGUCUUCUGGAGAUGUUAUAUAACCUUUGGUGAUCUCAUAACGGCGACCUUUGAAA